GACGAACGCUGGCGGCGUGCCUAACACAUGCAAGUCGAAGGUAGUGGCGAACGGGUGAGUAAUACGUAGGUUACGUGCCCUACGUUUUGGGAUAAGACUAGGAAUCGGGGUCUAAUAUCGAAUCAUGGGGGAUGGUCUCGGGGCCUAUCAGCUUGUUGGUGGGGUGAUGGCCUACAAAGGCGGUGACGGGUAGCCGGCCUGAGAGGGUGACCGGCCACUUUGGGACUGUGAUACCGCCUAGACUACUACGCAGUGGAGCAGUUGGGGCUAUGGCACAAUGGGCGACAGCCUGAUGCCGCGACGCCGAGUGGGGGCUGAGGGUUUUCGGGUUGUAAACCUCUUUCGCAAUCGAGCGGGUAGGUGGAGAAGAAGCGCCGGCUAACUACGUGCCAGCAGCCGCGGUAAUAC
rnacentral:rRNA from 1 species